rnacentral:misc_RNA from 1 species
CAGGACUCGCAAGACUCCGUACAACCACUGUGAACUUCACUACAACACGUUGCCUUCGGCGGGUGUCUCGGCGAGGUCCUCCUGGGACCUGCUCAGGGGCGCUCAGCCCGCCGGCAGGCCUACUAUACUCUGUCUCUUGUACGUUGGCAUCUCGAGAAAGACUAAACGAGUUA